GCUGGGCGCGGUGGUGCACGCCUGUAAUCCCAGUGGCUCUGGAGGCCAAGGCAGAAGGAUCAUGGGUUCAAAACCAGCCUCAGCAAAAGUGGGGCAUUAAGCAACUCAGUGAGACCCUGUCUCUA
rnacentral:sRNA from 1 species